UCUAGUCUGGCACGGUGAAGAGACGUGAGAGGUGUAGAAUAAGUGGGAGGCCCCCGGCGCCCCCCGGUGUCCCCGCGAGGGGUCCAGGGCGGGGUCUGCCGGCCCUGCGGGCCGCCGGUGAAAUACCACUACUCUGAUCGUUUUUUCACUGACCCGGUGAGGCGGGGGGGCGAGCCCUGAGGGGCUCUCGCUUCUGGCGCCAAGCGCCCGGCCGCACGCAAAAGAGCUCCUGAAGGAAGCGCUAAACAUGGAAAGGAACAACGGGUACCAGCCGCUGCAAAAUCAUGCCAAAAUGUAA
rnacentral:sRNA from 1 species